rnacentral:rRNA from 1 species
UAUUGCUCAAUGGGGGAAACCCUGAUGCAGCGACGCCGCGUGAGCGAAGAAGUAUUUCGGUAUGUAAAGCUCUAUCAGCAGUGAAGAANAUGACGGUACCUGACUACGAAGCACCGGCUAAAUACGUGCCAGCAGCCGCGGUAAUACGUAUGGUGCAAGCGUUAUCCGGAUUUACUGGGUGUAAAGGGAGCGUAGACGGUUGUGUAAGUCUGGUGUGAAAGCCCGGGGCUCAACCCCGGGACUGCAUUGGAAACUAUGUAACUCGAGUGUCGGAGAGGUAAGCGGAAUUCCUAGUGUAGCGGUGAAAUGCGUAGAUAUUAGGAGGAACACCAGUGGCGAAGGCGGCUUACUGGACGAUCACUGACGUUGAGGCUCGAAAGCGUGGGGAGCAAACAGG